GGCGUCGUGCUGUAAUUUGACAUUCGAAAUUAAUUAUAACCGAAAAAAAGGCGAAGCACAAAACCUGUUUCUGAGGUUAAAGGUUGGCAAAUUUUCAGUGCAAUAAGGAAAAUGGUACGAAAUUAAAUUUCCCCAUUAAACCGACUGAUAAUCUGCAAAUAAAGACGAGGCUGGGGACAGUGGACACAAAAGCUUACGGAAUAAUAAUGGAGGACUGCAGAUACAUAUCCCAUGUCAACAUUAAUUAGGGUCCGGUAUUUUUCGCAUCUAAUGCCGGGCAAUAUUGUCCAGGGUCCAGAUAAACAUAUGACUCCAAAACAGGUCAGUUCGGGGACAGAGCAAUUAAGAUGUUUAGCGUUCGGAAUAUUUUUCGUAGAUGGAAGGAGACAAAGGGUUUUGUUGUGCCAAUCAACUAGGAGGAAUUUGUUUUGGCAGGCUUUUCUUUUUUUUUGUCUCCCAUUCUUCCACAGCCAUUCAUAAUUUAAGCCGAUUUAAAAAGUGGCGCCAGUUAAGUCGACCAUGGGCGUUCAGACGACACAGGAGUGGGCGUGGCAUUGGCUUGCAUCACGGCUCACAAACACAAUAGAGAAAAGAUAAGGCGCUUUAGAUGCGACAGCUUUUUUGCCCAACUGGACAGAUGAAGAUAUGUCUACACACGAAGAAAAGACACCAAUUAUAUUCAUGUUC